UUUUUUGAAGUUUAUUGAUUCUUUUGGUUUGUUCGAUUGGUUGGGAUAGUACACAAUUUUUAUGUAAAUUUGACUUUAUUCUUUAGAUUCUUUCAGUGUAAAGUUGACGUAGUGACCUCAAAUUGUGCGCUAUUCUAACCAAUCAAACAGACAUUUUGUUGAUGAUUAGUAUUCUCAUCAUAUUAUCUAAUUACUUUCUCAAUCUAUGAAAUUCGCCAAGAUUAAAACUUUUUAAUUUAUUUGUUUUUAUUAAUUUUAAUAUUUUAUUUUUCAGUUAAAGAUUCUUUUAAUUAUAUCUGAUGAGAAUAAUUAUUUUAUUUUACAGGCAUACAAGAAAUACACAAAAGAGCACAAAAAUCAUAAUAAUAAAAAAUUGCCUCAUUUAAAUUUCACAAGGGAUCAAUUAUUUUUUAUAGCAUAUGCAUAUGUUUGGUGUUCGAAUGAGUACGAAGAUGUUUUUGAGCAUAUGAUUCAGUACGACCCUCAUUGCCCAUCAAAAUAUAGGGUGUUGGGUACACUCUCCAACAAUAAGGACUUUCAUGAAGCCUUUAACUGUACUCAAGGGAAGAAAAUGUAUAGAGAUGAAAAGUGCCUACUUUGGUGAAGAAACAAAACCUAUUUGUUUUUCUGUAUAUGUUGCUCAUUUAAAAUUAAAGUUUAAUUUUUUUUCAUUUGAA